AUGGCGGCCCCCGCUACUGAAGCCCCUGUUCUUCCCCCCGCCAAAAGGAACAAGGCGGAUACGAGUCUUCUGCAUACCUCAGCGGCCCUUCCGGCCGCAGACUGGUCCGCCCUCCUGCCCGAUCUCGUCCGUCGCGUCGCUGACUCCCUGCUCGCCACCAACGACCUCGACUGCUACAUGGACUUCCGCGCCGUCUGCUCCGGCUGGCGCGCCGCCACCGACGACCCCAGGAGCGACCCCUCCGAUCCCCGCUUCCGCCCGCAGCGGUGGGUCAUCCUCGACGACGGCGCCGACCCCCGCUUCCUCCCGUACCGGUUGGUCUUCCUGAACGACGGCGCCGACCUGCUCCUGCUGAACGCCGCCACGGGGCGCUUCCUCCGCAAGAGGACCCCGCUGCGCCGCCGCUACUCCGUCGUCGCCACCACUCCUGGCGGCCUCUUCGUCCUGGCCGACCGGAACCAUUCUCGAGCCGCCUGCGUCUUCAAUCCUCUCACCGGCGUCCUGAUCCGGUUCGCGGCACCCGUGCCCACCGAGGAGGUCGCCGUCGCCACUGUCGUCUUCGGUCGCGGCUCUUCGCCCACGCUCAACUUGUUCUGCGACUCUUCUCUGAACUUUUACGUGGCUGCUCCUGUCAGUGAAAGUUUCAACAAACAUAAUGUUUCCACUUAUUAUUUCUUACGGAAGGCGGUCAGAGGCGGGUGGGGAUUAUGUUAUCCAUGGAGGUAUUUUGUUAUGUGCAAGAUCUUCGAUCUGAUCGAGUCGCUUCAUGUCGAUCCGAUCAAGUUCUUCUCUCAGGAUCUUCCUGUGGCCGGGCACACCAACGACCACGGCUGGUGUUUCCUUGUCGAAUUGGGUGGCCAAGUGCUGGUUGUCAUCAAGCUGCACCGAUGUGUCAAGGUUUUCAAGAUGGAAGUCGAUAGCAUCGUGCCUGUUGAGAGCAUCGGUAGCCAUGCCAUCUUCAUUGGUCAUCACAGGUGCCUGGCUGUUGACACCCAUAAGUUCCCGUCUGUGGAGGCCAACUGCAUCUACUACGUUGAGCGUCUGGCCUCAUCUGCCUACAUCUGCAUGUACAAUCUCAAGGACGAGGAAGACGAGAUGAUCUCAGCUGGGGCCGUAGAUUUCAUGAAGACAGACAAGCUGUUCGUCAUUGCCCCACACCGCCCUUUCACCAUCAUCCACCUUCUCUCCAGCUACACCAUCAAUGUCCGGGAUUCUCAACUGCCGCUACAACAGGACGCCAACUAA
rnacentral:rRNA from 1 species